UACGUAGGGUGCGAGCGUUAAUCGGAAUUACUGGGCGUAAAGCGUGCGCAGGCGGUUUUGUAAGCCAGAUGUGAAAUCCCCGGGCUUAACCUGGGAAUGGCAUUUGGGACUGCAAGGCUCGAGUGCGGCAGAGGAGACUGGAAUUCCUGGUGUAGCAGUGAAAUGCGUAGAUAUCAGGAGGAACACCGAUGGCGAAGGCAGGUCUCUGGGCUGACACUGACGCUCAGGCACGAAAGCGUGGGGAGCGAACAGG
rnacentral:rRNA from 1 species